CUGAGAGGAUGACCAGCCACACUGGAACUGAGACACGGUCCAGACUCCUACGGGAGGCAGCAGUGGGGAAUAUUGCACAAUGGGCGCAAGCCUGAUGCAGCCAUGCCGCGUGUAUGAAGAAGGCCUUCGGGUUGUAAAGUACUUUCAGCGGGGAGGAAGGGAGUAAAGUUAAUACCUUUGCUCAUUGACGUUACCCGCAGAAGAAGCACCGGCUAACUCCGUGCCAGCAGCCGCGGUAAUACGGAGGGUGCAAGCGUUAAUCGGAAUUACUGGGCGUAAAGCGCACGCAGGCGGUUUGUUAAGUCAGAUGUGAAAUCCCCGGG
rnacentral:rRNA from 1 species